rnacentral:tRNA from 1 species
GUUCCCAUAGUUAAAUGGAUAUAACAAUGCCCUCCUAAGGCAUAGUUCCAAGUUCGAUUCUUGGUGGGAAUA